GGGGAGCAGGGCAGUGUGUGUGUGGGGGGUCUCGCCCGGUUCCCUUCAGCCCCUGUCCUGUCCCCGUCUCAGAGCCGCCGUGCGAGUCGCUGCUGGUCCCGGUGGUGGCAGGCGUGAUCCUGGCCCUGGGGGCAGUCGCCGUGCUGGUCGGCCUGGCCUGGAGGAGGAGGCUGUCAGGGCCCCAGGCGGAUCUGUACUCGCCGGCGCCGGCCAGCGAGCAUGGAUCGGACAGCUCCAUCACUGCUCUAACAUAGCCGGUCGGAGCCGGAGGAGACUCCAGACUGUGAAGACACGGACUGACCAGGGGGGUCCGGCCCCCCGCCUCUCCUCUGCGUUAUCUCCCUGUUACUCCUUGUGUACGACCUCGGCGCUGUGCCUGGUGAACAGCCCCACGUCUCCUGAACCUCCUGCCUCCCUGGGACCCACUGCCGGGGGGCCGCCUGCCCCGAGCUCUGCGCGUCGGCCAUGGGACGCGAACUGGGCAGCCCCGAUGGGCACGGUCGGCCCCAUUCACUGCAUGGUUUAUUUAGUGUGUGAGCCCCUCGGGGCAGGGACCGCAGCCUCCUUAUCUCUGGGGUGCACGGAGCCCCCUCCCAGCAGCCACAGGGGAAGGGGGGAAGGGCUCUUCAUGUGGAAAACCUCCAUUUUGGGCCCAAAACUGAACACUUUUGGCUGAAAACCACCAAAUUCCAUGUGGCAAAGCUGCCGCAGUCACUCGUGGGAGCUGGAGUUCGGGUGCCCCGCGCUCCCACUCGCUGUAGGCCGGGGUCCCGCGGUGCAUCAUGGGAGUCCCUGCUGGUGGGAGCAGUGCGGUCUGGGAGCCAGGACUCCUGGGUCCUAUUCCCAGCUCUGCCGCUGGCUCGCUGUGAGGCACUGAGUGAUUCCCGCCCCGCUCCGUGCCUCAGUUUCCCCCUCUUGAAAAC
rnacentral:lncRNA from 1 species